rnacentral:SRP_RNA from 1 species
GCCGGGCGCGGUGGCUCAAGCCUGUAAUCCCAGCACUUUGGGAGGCCGAGGCGGGUGGAUCACGAGGUCAGGAGAUCGAGACCAUCCUGGCUAACAUGGUGAAACCCCGUCUCUACUAAAAAUACAAAAAAUUAGCUGGGCAUGGUGGUGCGUGCCUGUAGUCCCAGCUACUUGGGAGGCUGAGGCAGGAGAAUCUNNNNNNNNNNAGAUUCUCCUGCCUCAGCCUCCCAAGUAGCUGGGACUACAGGCACGCACCACCAUGCCCAGCUAAUUUUUUGUAUUUUUAGUAGAGACGGGGUUUCACUAUGUUCGCCAGGCUGGUCUUGAACUCCUGACCUCGUGAUCCACCUGCCUU